UACGUAGGGGGCAAGCGUUAUCCGGAUUUACUGGGUGUAAAGGGAGCGUAGGUGGCAAGGCAAGUCAGAUGUGAAAACCCGGGGCCCAACCCCGGGAGUGCAUUUGAAACUGUCUGGCUGGAGUGCAGGAGAGGUAAGUGGAAUUCCUAGUGUAGCGGUGAAAUGCAUAGAUAUUAGGAGGAACACCAGUGGCGAAGGCGGCUUACUGGACUGUAACUGACACUGAGGCUCGAAAGCGUGGGGAGCAAACAGG
rnacentral:rRNA from 1 species